rnacentral:tRNA from 1 species
AGAAAAGUAAGCUAAAGUUAAGCUAGUGGGUUCAUACCCCACCUAUAGAGCCCCCCCCUCUCUUUUCUA